rnacentral:rRNA from 1 species
UCUUUCUAGACGGAAAGAAACGGUACGACGGUCAACACCCGUCGACUAAUGACGGUACUGUCAGAAGAAGCACCGGCUAACUACGUGC